GAUGAACGCUAGCGGGAGGCUUAACACAUGCAAGUCGAGGGGCAGCACGGGGUAGCAAUACCCUGGUGGCGACCGGCAGACGGGUGAGUAACGCGUAUGUAACCUACCCUGUACAGGGGGAUAACCCGGAGAAAUUCGGACUAAUAUCCCAUGGAAAUAUUGGAAGGCAUCUUUUGAUAUUUAAAGUUCCGGCGGUACGGGAUGGGCAUGCGUAACAUUAGCUAGUUGGUAAGGUAACGGCUUACCAAGGCUUUGAUGUUUAGGGGUCCUGAGAGGGUGGUCCCCCACACUGGUACUGAGACACGGACCAGACUCCUACGGGAGGCAGCAGUGAGGAAUAUUGGUCAAUGGGCGCAAGCCUGAACCAGCCAUCCCGCGUGCAGGAAGACGGCGCUAUGCG
rnacentral:rRNA from 1 species